rnacentral:rRNA from 1 species
GACUACUGGGGUAUCUAAUCCUGUUUGAUCCCCACGCUUUCGUGCCUCAGUGUCAAUACAGGGCUGGUGAACUGCCUUCGCAAUCGGUGUUCUGUAACAUAUCUAAGCAUUUCACCGCUACAUGUCACAUUCCAUCCACCUCGACCUGAUUCAAGCUAAGCAGUAUCAAUGGCAGUUUCGGAGUUGAGCUCCGAGCUUUCACCACUGACUUACAAAGCCACCUACGCACCCUUUAAACCCAGUGAAUCCGGAUAACGCUUGCACCCUCCGUAUUACCGCGGCUGCUGGCACGGAGUUAGCCGGUGCUUAUUCCUUCGGUACCUUCAAGCUGAGGAGAACCCCAGUUUUUAUUCCCGAAGAAAAGAAGUUUACAAUCCAGAGGACCUUCAUCCUUCACGCGGGAUGGCUGGAUCAGGCUUGCGCCCAUUGUCCAAUAUUCCCUACUGCAGCCCCCCGUAGG